rnacentral:rRNA from 1 species
GACCGAGAGUUCAAGAGUACGUGAAACCGUUUGCAGGUAAACAGAUGGACCCACGAAGUCCAGUUGAGUUGAGGGAUUCAUAUACUUUGGAAGGCUAAGAGUUGUUGUUUCUUCUCCUUGGAGAAGGCAACUACUCGUAAGUCAACCAAAUGAUGCAUUUCUCUUGCUCACGAUGGAGCUCUGACUGCUUAGCAUGUUCAUCUAUGAGCGGCCUAGAUGAUUAGACCUUCGGGCUCUAGACUUAUCUAGGUAGGCGAAUACUAUAGAUGAAUCGUUGAGUAGGUGAAUUACUUACAUUUGUAAGUGUUCAGAUUGUGUUUAUGGGGAAGUGAUGAUAUGUCUUGGUUGUAUGUUAUUCUUGACUCGUGCUUGAAAACAUGCAACAUCUAGGCAUAUGCACAUCUCUUCUCUCAUAUGCAUACAUGAUCCAGAGUAAGUAGGUCGGUCAUCCAUCUGACCCGUCUUGAAACACGGACCAAGGAGCCCAACAUUUAUGCGAGUCGCACAGUCUUGUUUAGGCUUGUGAGGCGAAAUAAACAUAAUGUUGUGACUGUUUCAUCUCCGGAUGAGACAAGCAACAACAACCUGUUUCAUCUUAUCUUAUAAGUGAAACGGCGUUUGAGCAUAAAUGUUGGUACCCGAAAGAUGGUGAACUAUACUUGGGCAAGACGAAGCCAGAGGAAACUCUGGUGGAGGUCUGUAGCGAUUCUGACGUGCAAAUCGAUCGUCAGACCUGAGUAUA